AGGCCUAAGGGCUAUUUUAACCCACCGCCCGACUUGCAAUCAGACACACUAUUAGACC
rnacentral:tRNA from 1 species